rnacentral:rRNA from 1 species
UGAACGCUGGCGGCGUGCCUAACACAUGCAAGUCGAACGAGAAAGCUAUCUUCGGAAAGCGAGUACAGUGGCGAACGGGUGAGUAACACGUUGGUGACCUGCCCCGAGGUGGGGGACAACUGUGGGAAACCACAGCUAAUACCCCAGAUGUUGAGGAGUCUAGACGUCCUUAACUAAAGUUCCGACGCCUCGGGAGGGGCCUGCGGGCUAUCAGCUUGUUGGUGAGGUAAUGGCUCACCAAGGCUAAGACGGCUAGGGGGCGUGAGAGCGCGAUCCCCCACAAUGGGACUGAGACACGGCCCAUACUCCUACGGGAGGCAGCAGUGAGGAAUAUUGCACAAUGGGGGCAACCCUGAUGCAGCAACGCCGCGUGAACGAUGAAGGCCUUCGGGUCGUAAAGUUCUUUUCUAAGGGACGAUAAUGACGGUACCUUAGGAAUAAGUCCCGGCUAACUAC